AUGAGUGUGAUGCAGUCAGCCAAUGGUAUCCAGAGGGCCAAGGUGCAAGACUUCAAGGCAUCACCCGAGGCUCGAUCAUUAAAUCAUGCAGGACACAAAAAGGAGAAAGAGAACAUUCCUCCGGUCCUAUGUACGGAGAUCAAUAGGAUACAACACCCGCCCGAAGGUGUAACCAAUGGAAAAAGUCUGGAACAAAAGUUGCUAAGAGCCCUAGUGAAAUUGCCUGUCUGCCAAACUGUACUUGCCCAACCUGAGGCCACUAGUGUUCCAGAAGCAGUAACCAUGGGAAAAAGCCCGGAACAAAAGUUUCCAAGAGCCCUAGGAAAAUUGCCUGUCUGCUCAACUGUACUUGCCCAACCUGAGGCCACUAGUGUUCCAGAAGCAGUAGAAGCAACUGGCCGGGGGAACACUUACCAUUUCUCUAAUGUGGAGGAGCAGUACCACGAAUUCAUGCGUGUUAACGGGAAGGCAACCAAUGCACUAGAAAUCAAUGUUCUAGCUGUGAGUGAGCUGUUUGCAAGCCCAAGGGUAAUUGAAUAUGCCAAGUACUUUGUCACUGUCAGGGAGCUCGCAAACUCAAUGAAGAAGGGGGGUUUUGUCGUGAGCCAUGUAAUGGAAGUUGGUAUAGAGAGUAUAAUGAUGAACUUGCCACCAGACUCAAAGAAGCUUGUGAUGCCCGUUAGGUUCUCGGUUCAGAUGCAAAACAUGGAAUUGAACGACAACGAGCUCAUUUCUCGGUUCAAGAAGUCGAAUCGCUUGGACCGUAAAGACAUGAUUAUGUUCCCAGUUUUAGAGAACAUUGACAAGACGAAGCCUAAAACAGGCAAUCAUUACUGGAUUUUUAACGUGAACAUAAGGGAUCGACGUUUCGAAGCUCUUGAUUCUUGGAGGACGCUAAAAAACAAGUCUUUAGAUGUUUGCACAAGGAAAAUGGUUGCAAGUUUUCGGUCUCUAUUUGAAGAGCAUUACGCCAGUUCCCGUGUCUCGCUGGAUGACUUUGAGCUUACCAACAUCGAUGUUCCAAAACAGAACAAUGAGUAA
rnacentral:rRNA from 1 species